rnacentral:rRNA from 1 species
UACGGGGGGAGCAAGCGUUGUUCGGAAUUACUGGGCGUAAAGGGCUCGUAGGCGGCCAACUAAGUCAUACGUGAAAUCCCUCGGCUUAACCGGGGAACUGCGUCUGAUACUGGAUGGCUUGAGUUCGGGAGAGGGAUGCGGAAUUCCAGGUGUAGCGGUGAAAUGCGUAGAUAUCUGGAGGAAUACCGGUGGCGAAGGCGGCAUCCUGGACCGGCAUUGACGCUGAUGAGCGAAAGCUAGGGGAGCAAACGGGG